rnacentral:rRNA from 1 species
UACAGAGGGUGCAAGCGUUGUUCGGAAUUAUUGGGCGUAAAGCGCGUGUAGGCGGCUUUGCAAGUCGGGUGUGAAAGCCCUCAGCUCAACUGAGGAAGUGCGCCCGAAACUGCAGAGCUUGAGUACUGGAGAGGAUGGCGGGAAUUCCCCAAGUAGAGGUGAAAUUCGUAGAUAUGGGGAGGAACACCGGUGGCGAAGGCGGG